UACGAAGGGGGCUAGCGUUGCUCGGAAUCACUGGGCGUAAAGGGUGCGUAGGCGGGUCUUUAAGUCAGGGGUGAAAUCCUGGAGCUCAACUCCAGAACUGCCUUUGAUACUGAAGAUCUUGAGUCCGGGAGAGGUGAGUGGAACUGCGAGUGUAGAGGUGAAAUUCGUAGAUAUUCGCAAGAACACCAGUGGCGAAGGCGGCUCACUGGCCCGAUACUGACGCUGAGGCACGAAAUCGUGGGGAGCAAACAGG
rnacentral:rRNA from 1 species